UUGAACGCUGGCGGCAGGCCUAACACAUGCCAGUCGAGCGGAUGAAGGGAGCUUGCUCCUGGAUUCAGCGGCGGACGGGUGAGUAAUGCCUAGGAAUCUGCCUGGUAGUGGGGGAUAACGUCCGGAAACGGGCGCUAAUACCGCAUACGUCCUGAGGGAGAAAGUGGGGGAUCUUCGGACCUCACGCUAUCAGAUGAGCCUAGGUCGGAUUAGCUAGUUGGUGGGGUAAAGGCCCACCAAGGCGACGAUCCGUAACUGGUCUGAGAGGAUGAUCAGUCACACUGGAACUGAGACACGGUCCAGACUCCUACGGGAGGCAGCAGUGGGGAAUAUUGGACAAUGGGCGAAAGCCUGAUCCAGCCAUGCCGCGUGUGUGAAGAAGGUCUUCGGAUUGUAAAGCACUUUAAGUUGGGAGGAAGGGCAGUAAGUUAAUACCUUGCUGUUUUGACGUUACCAACAGAAUAAGCACCGGCUAACUUCGUG
rnacentral:rRNA from 1 species